GAACGUCUUUGUUUGUUUUUCGGAGCAAGCGAAGGAGUGGCGGACGGGUGAGUAGCACAUGGGUGACCUGGCCUGCAGUGAGGGAUACCGGCGAGAAAUCGCCGACAAGCCCGCAUGGGCUCUGUUUCAUCAAGGGAGCAGAGCAAAGCCCGUAAGGGUGCUGCAGGAUGGGCCUGUGGCCGAUUAGCUGGUUGGUGGGGUAAGAGCCUACCAAGGCGACGAUCGGUAGCUGGUCUGAGAGGACGAACAGCCACACUGGGAUUGAGAACGGCCCAGACUCCUACGGGGGGCAGCAGUGAGGAAUUUUCCGCAAUGGGCGAGGAGCCUGACGGAGCAACGCCGCGUGCAGGAGGACGCUUUUCGGAGUGUAAACUGCUUUUCUGUGGGACGAGGAUGGACGGUACCACAGGAAGAAGCCCCGGCUAACUACGUG
rnacentral:rRNA from 1 species